AUUGAACGCUGGCGGCAGGCCUAACACAUGCAAGUCGAACGGCAGCGGGGGCUUCGGCCUGCCGGCGAGUGGCGAACGGGUGAGUAAUGCAUCGGAACGUGCCCAGUCAUGGGGGAUAACUACGCGAAAGCGUAGCUAAUACCGCAUACGCCCUGAGGGGGAAAGUGGGGGAUCUUCGGACCUCACGUGAUUGGAGCGGCCGAUGUCAGAUUAGCUAGUUGGUGAGGUAAAGGCUCACCAAGGCGACGAUCUGUAGCGGGUCUGAGAGGAUGAUCCGCCACACUGGGACUGAGACACGGCCCAGACUCCUACGGGAGGCAGCAGUGGGGAAUUUUGGACAAUGGGCGCAAGCCUGAUCCAGCCAUGCCGCGUGAGUGAAGAAGG
rnacentral:rRNA from 1 species